CUCUCUGCCAUCGCUCACUUUUUCGCCAGUAAUUGUGUUUCUAUUAAAGAUGAAUCCUAGAUCAUCGCCGUGAUUUAAAUUACCUACAAACGAGAUUAUUAAUUAUAUCAACAUUAUGUAAGGAGAACAUAGCAUAAUAUAUUUUAUCAAUUAUUAUAAAUUGUACCAUCUAAGGAUCUCUUGGCAUCGACGAUCGGCAAUCCAACCAGUAGUCAACGGUCAAAAAUGCGGGAGCAUUAUAGAGUGAAUCACCCAAAGCUUCCGCAACUUUUCCAACGUUAUUCGGUGUGCCAUCACUUUGGAAUAUGUUAAGUGGUAUAGACGGAAAAUUGCCGUGCCUAAAAGAAUCUUCCGGUGAUGCGGUCAUGAAAUUUGGAAGCGACCUUAAAGACGAUAGACCAGGCCCAAGCAGAUUGGCUAAGCCGGAGACGAAACCUCGGACAGUUGUACGGGUGUUCUCCAAUUCGGAAUCGGU